rnacentral:rRNA from 1 species
GACGAACGCUGGCGGCGUGCUUAACACAUGCAAGUCGAGCGGAAAGGCCCUUUCGGGGGUACUCGAGCGGCGAACGGGUGAGUAACACGUGAGUAAUCUGCCCUUGGCUUUGGGAUAACCACCGGAAACGGUGGCUAAUACCGGAUAUGACGCGCCCCGGCAUCGGGGUGUGUGGAAAGUUUUUUCGGCCAGGGAUGGGCUGGCGGUCUAUCAGCUUGUUGGUGGGGUAAUGGCCUACCAAGGCUUCGGCGGGUAGGCGGCCUGAGAGGGUGACCGGCCACACUGGGACGGAGACACGGCCCAGACUCCUACGGGAGGCAGCAGUGGGGAAUAUUGGACAAUGGGCGGAAGCCUGAUCCAGCAACGCCGCGUGAGGGAUGACGGCCUUCGGGUUGUAAACCUCUUUCAGUACCGACGAAGCGCCGAUGAUGGUGGUGACGGUAGGUACAGAAGAAGCACCGGCCAACUACGUGCCAGCCGCCGCAGUAA